UGAGGUAGUAGAUUGUAUAGUUGUAGGGUCAUAACCCAUCUUGGAGAUAACUAUACAGUCUACUGUCUUUC
rnacentral:pre_miRNA from 1 species